UACGUAGGGCGCAAGCGUUGUCCGGAAUUAUUGGGCGUAAAGAGCUCGUAGGCGGCCUGUUGCGUCCGCUGUGAAAUCCCGGGGCUCAACCCCGGGCCGUGCAGUGGAUACGGGCUGGCUAGAGGCAGGCAGGGGAGAACGGAAUUCCGUGGUGUAGCGGUGAAAUGCGCAGAUAUCAGGAGGAACACCGGUGGCGAAGGCGGUCUCUGGGCCUGUACUGACGCUGAGGAGCGAAAGCGUGGGAGCAAACAGG
rnacentral:rRNA from 1 species